rnacentral:rRNA from 1 species
CAGUAGCCACGGGAAUACGGAGGGUGCAAGCGUUAUCCGGAUUCACUGGGUUUAAAGGGCGCGUAGGCGGAUCUGUAAGUCAGUGGUGAAAUCUCCAGGCUUAACCUGGAAACUGCCGUUGAUACUAUAGGUCUUGAAUUUUGUGGAGGUUAGCGGAAUAUGUCAUGUAGCGGUGAAAUGCAUAGAUAUGACAUAGAACACCAAUUGCGAAGGCAGCUGGCUACACAACUAUUGACGCUGAGGCACGAAAGCGUGGGUAGCGAACAGGAUUAGAUACCCGCGUAGUCCCUGUCUCUUAUAC